rnacentral:rRNA from 1 species
ACUCAAAGGAAUAGACGGGGACCCGCACAAGCAGAGGAGGAUGUGGUUUAAUAUGACGCUACGCGUAGAACCUUACCGAGGCUUGACAUCCCUGGGACCCGCUGGAAACAGUGGGGUGCCUUCGGGAGCCAGGUGACAGGUGCUGCAUGGCCGUCGUCAGCUCGUGUCGUGAGAUGUUGGGUUAAGUCCCGCAACGAGCGCAACCCUUAUCGUAUGUUGUAUUUUUCAUGCGAGACUGCCCGGGCCAACCGGGAGGAAGGUGGGGAUGACGUCAGGUCGGCAUGGCCCUUACGCCUCGGGCCACACACGUCCUACAAUGGCCGGUACAACGCGCCGCAAACCCGCGAGGGGGAGCUAAUCGCAUCAAAACCGGUCUCAGUUCGGAUUGGAGGCUGCAACUCGCCUCCAUGAAGUCGGAUUUGCUAGUAAACGUGGGUCAGCACACCGCGUUGAAUACGUUCCCGGGUCUUGUACACACCGCCCGU